UCAACAAAACCUGAAUCCAGUUUGCACAUAUGGCACAUUAACUUUAUUACAAGAUUAAACUGGCCGGAUAAUUGAUAAUUGUCAUUGGCCUUUUGAUUCAGAGAUGGACUGUAAUGGGCUUGUAGUCGAAAACAAUGACUUUCUCCAGGUGGGGCAGGAACAGAUUUGCGAAUUCGACAUGGGCUGGAUGAGAUACAUACUCUGCAAUGCCUUCCACACUCUCGAAGGUUGACUCGAAGACAUGAGUGAAACCUUGAUGCAUGUUCUCAAUGCUCACAUCCUUGCCCCUGUUACAUUACAGAAGAUGUCACAAGUUUUAGAGAUUUAAGGCAUGAUGGUAACAGGCAGCAUAACCAUUUCGCCAGGCACAACUCAAAGACAUCAGACUCAAACAUGAACCAUCGUAAAUUUCUUCACUUAUAUGAAAACAGAAAUGUUAGAAAGAGAUCUAUUGGUUCAACUGAAAUUGUUCUGAGCAACUGAUGCCUCAUUAUCAGAUGAGUUCAAGGCAUCUGCUUGGCAAAUUAAUAUUGAAGUUCACUGAGUCAUCAUUAAGGCUUCUUGUUCAUUAUGAAAAUGGAAGCAGUCUUAAGUGGUGUUUGUUUUUUUACUUAAUUCUAAAUAGAACUUUAAUACUUAAUAGUGUUAAAUAUUAAGUUGUUUGUUUUUGUAGUAUUUUAUUUUUAUUAAGUAUUAAAAAGUAAAAAAAAAAUCAAUAUGUUAUUUUUUCUAUUUAGAAAAAGCUAUAUAUUUUAAUUUUUUCUAUUUAGUAAAAAGUUUAUAAUAAAUCAUGAAAAAGUAAGAAAACAAACAACUUAAACUCUGAAAACAAAUUACUUUCAGCAAAAAAAUAAAAAAAACAAACACCACCUCAAUUCUUAUACAAAAAGCAUAUACCGGAGAAUUUCAUCAUUCAUGUAAGAAAACCUAUGAAAAUCCAAGCAUGUUAUGCAGAUGACCUACUAAGAGUGCGGUUGACAAUAUUUUUAUUCUAAGCAUUUUUAUUAAAGUUUUUUCUUUAGAAAUGUUUUUGAGAGAAUCACUUAUCAAGUGUUUUUCCAAGAAAUACUACAAGCAAUUUUUCAAUUUUGUAAAAAUGUUUUCUAUGUUGUAAAUUAAGGGAAAUGAAUGACCACAUUGAUGGUCAUUAUGAACUCCAUUUACUCAUCUUUAAGAUGAGUAAUGGGAGUUCAUAAUGUGAAGCCUAUAAAAGGCUUCUUACCCCUCCCAUGUAAUAGCAUCCCGAGAAAGAAAGAAAGCUCUUCCUCUCAUUCUCUCUCUCUCUCUCUUUCACUUUCUCAAUUCUCUUAUUUGAUUCCUUCUUCCAUAUUAUAUAUCAAAGUAAGAUAUAUUUUAUCUCUAUUACUUUGAUUUGCAUUAUAUUUGUCCUUGUUUUACAACACGUUAUCAGCACGAAUUGCUCUGAAGGUAAUUCUCGUAUCUUCACUUAAAGUUAUUUAUAUAGAAUAAAAUUUUACAUAUUUAUAUUAUUGUUGAUUUGUUUUGUUACAUAUUGUUAAAAGUUGUAAACAAAUUAUUUGAUUUUGUUUAUAAUCAAAGUUAUACCAAUGCUAUCAAGUUAUUAUAACUGAUUUUAAUAAUAUUGUUUUGUCAUAUAUAUAUGAAGUUAUUUGACAAUGUCGAAUAUCACAAAACUCGAAUUUGUGGCACUUGACAUUUCGGGAAAGAACUAUCUAUCUUGGAUCCUUGAUGCUGAAUUACAUCUUGAUGCAAUGAACCUUGGAGCUACGAUCAAACAAGGAAAUCAAGCAUCCCUGCAGGAUCGCGCAAAAGCAUUGAUUUUCCUUCGUCAUCACCUCCAUGAAGGUUUAAAAAAUGAGUAUCUUACGGUAAAGGACCCUUUUACUCUAUGGAGUAAUUUGAAGGAAAGAUGACCACCAGAAAACUGUGAUUCUCCCAAAAGCUCGAUAUGAUUGGAUGCACCUAAGGUUGCAAGAUUUUAAAACUGUUAGUGAAUACAACUCUGCACUUUUCAAAAUUAGCUCUCAAUUAAAGUUGUGUGGAGAAAAAAUNNNNNNNNNNNNNNNNNNNNNNNNNNNNNNNNNNNNNNNNNNNNNNNNNNNNNNNNNNNNNNNNNNNNNNNNNNNNNNNNNNNNNNNNNNNNNNNNNNNNAUAUUGCGUUAUCUUCGCGGAACUACUGAUAUGGGUUUAUUUUACUCAAGGGAAUCAAAGCAACAAUUGCUUGGAUAUGCAGAUGCAGGAUAUCUUUCAGAUCCACAUAAAGGCAGGUCACAAACAGGGUAUGUGUUUAAUUGCAAUGGUACUGCUAUUUCAUGGAGAUCUGUCAAACAAACAAUGGUAGCUACAUCAUCAAAUCAUUCAGAAAUACUGGCAAUUCAUGAAGCAAGUCGUGAAUGUAUAUGGCUAAGAUCUAUGAUCCAGCAUAUUCGGGAAUCAUGUGGACUCUCCUCUAUCAAAGGUGGCCCGACAACAUUAUUUGAAGAUAAUGCUGCAUGCAUUGCACAAAUAACAGGGGGUUAUAUUAAAGGAGAUAGAACUAAACACAUUUCACCAAAAUUCUUUUAUACACAUGAACUCCAGAAGAGUGGUGAAAUUGAUGUGCAACAAAUACGCUCAAUUGAUAAUCUAGCAGAUUUAUUCACAAAAUCAUUGCCAACCUCAACAUUCAAGAAGUUAAUACACAGGAUUGGAAUGCGUCAACUCAAGGAUAUCGACAUGAGGGAGAGUAUGCUUGUAAAAGGGUGUUAGUGUACUGUACUCUUUUUUUUUUUCCUUCGUCCAGGUUUUGUCCUACUGGGUUUUACUGGCAAGGUUUUUAACGAGGCAGUCCUAAUAUACCAAGAAAAGAAUAUUGUACUCUUUUUCCUUCGCUAGGUUUUUCCUAUAGGGUUUUUUACUGGCAAGGUUUUAAUGAGGCAUAUUCUUUUAAUAUGGUGGUCAUCCAAGGGGGAGUGUUGUAAAUUAAGGGAAAUGAAUGACCACAUUGAUGGUCAUUAUGAACUCCAUUUACUCAUCUUUAAGAUGAGUAAUGGGAGUUCAUAAUGUGAAGCCUAUAAAAGGCUUCUUACCCCUCCCAUGUAAUAGCAUCCCGAGAAAGAAAGAAAGCUCUUCCUCUCAUUCUCUCUCUCUCUCUCUUUCACUUUCUCAAUUCUCUUAUUUGAUUCCUUCUUCCAUAUUAUAUAUCAAAGUAAGAUAUAUUUUAUCUCUAUUACUUUGAUUUGCAUUAUAUUUGUCCUUGUUUUACAACAUUCUAAAUUUUGUUAAAUACUUUAUUUUUUUUCCAAAAGUGCUUUUUAAACCUAGUAUUUUCUAAAAAUAUGGUCAAACAGGUUCUAAAUCGUGUUAGACACAGACUCUAAUUCCAUCUAGGUGCUCAAAGGGCAUCUUUCACAUAAAUGAAGCCACAAAAGAAAGAGUGACUUCUAAUCAAACUUUAAGAUAAACUUUCACAUCAAACUUAGAAGUACCGAAACUAUGUUUUGGUAACCUGGUUUUAGUUGUUGUGAAUCUAAACAUGUACAUGAGGUUUUGAAAGUCUUGACAUAAUUGCUAAGAAAGCGGGCACCAUCUUGGUGAGAGUUCUCACGACGUGCUUACUAACUUUAAAAAAAAUCACUUUCAGAAAAAAGUCCUGCAAGAAGCAUAUAUUGUCAAGCUAAAAGAGGAAUAUUUUGGUUCUAGCUACAUGCCAAAGCACUAAAUUAUCUUCACUUAUUUUCCUUUUAGGCAUGCUUCAAUUACAACUAAAAAGCAUUCUAUAGACAACUGAUAUUUCACCUGUGAAGUUUUUUCAACACAUGAUAUGAUAAUUGUUUGAAAAUUUGGAACUUUCUUCUCAAUAUAGGACCAGAUGUUCCUGAACGUCUAUAAAAUUUUAAAAAUAUGUAUAUACAAAGAAGCACCAACAAUAAUUAUCAAAUAAUUAUUGUAGGACCAACAUAUGCUAGUGUAGUUGGUAAGUAGGACCGACAGGCAUAGGCACAAAAACUGGGGUGUGAGAGUUUGGCAGUGCAAUACUUUUGUUUCAGUGAGAAUCUGAUUUGUAAACCUUUAUUAACUAAAUGAAAGAUGAUGUGCAUGAAAUCAUGUAGCUUACUUGGUCUAUUUCUAGAUACUAGCUACCAAAGCAUUUUUUUUUUUUUUUUUUUUACAUCAGAUCUACUUCCUUUCACUUCAAUUAUAACACCCAAAAUCGAAUACGACAAUAAAAAAAAGUUAAACGCUCAGUUUGGAGCAUUUGAAGAACAAGUAUUAAGUCAAACCAUCCAAUUUUCAUACUCUUGGCCUAUAGCAUCCCAAGAUUUUUCUUCACUAUCAAAAACAACUAAAAAGAAUUCCUUAAGGCACUUCGAAUUGAAAUUACCAAGGUUUCAAAAUUAAAAAACAUCCUGCCCAAAAAAGGCAUCCACCUGGAACCUUUUAUAACAAAAUGAAAUUAUCAUAAUCAUUCCAUCUUCCUAGUUUGUAUACUAUUGCAGCAAUGAAACAAACAUCCCAAGUGGCAAAGAAGCCCUCUAACUACAAACACUACGUUUUACUUACCUAACCAAAAUAAUUGAAGUACGUAAAUUCUACCAAAAAAUUAAAAAGCAAUAGCAUGAUAAAAUUAUUGUAUUUGUCAAAUGAUUCAAACUGAAAAGUAAUAGCAACUUCAAGAUCCAACGACAAAGCACAACAUAAAUUUGAAAUUGUUUACUAUUAAUCAAAAACUCCUAAAAAUUAAAUACCCUUUUGGGUUGAUUUGCUAUUGGCAGUCAAAGAAUUAUUUCAUUAAUAAUUCUCUCAUGAGAAGCAACAGCCCCUGAAGUUAACAGCAAAGUAACUCCAUCAACCAAUAUAUUCAGUCAAUAAUUCAAAAUUUUAACUUAAAAGAAACUAAGCUCGGAAUUGAAAAGAGAUGGGAUAUUAGUGACCAAAUAAUCACAUUAUAAUUAAACACAUUUAUAAUAUGUCAAACAUACUACUAGAUGAAUACAAACAAAACCAAAUACUUGUGUUAUAAUUAAAUAUAUUAAUAAUGUUUUCAUGCAUACCACUAGGUGAAUAUAAACCAAAAGUCAUACAUAUAAAAACGCCAAGAUAGUAAUAGCAACGUGGAAAACAACACCACAAGUAACAAUAACAACAAGAGCAACCACUCCUUGGACUAUAGAUGGACUCCUACAACUCAAAAUCCCUAACCGAAUCUGGAAGACGUUCACUAUUGAGAGAAUCAGAAAAAGACAUCCUAAGAUCGAGUUAAAGAUGGCAUAAAGCAUCCCCUUCCGAAUAGACUUUCUGUUGAAGUGGUUUAUAUAAACUCUUCAUUUGAUUCCGCACCAUUGACGAGUUUGAUCAUUAUCUUCAAGUCAUGAGCCACCAAUGAUGAUGUGAGAAAAACCGCAAAGGAGACGACCUCAAACAACAUCAAGCUCCUGAUUGUGCUGAUUUUGGCAUUGUAGCCAAGACAACCAUCAAUGCUAUGCAACCCUAUAAUGUUGAAAUUAACAUUCUUUUAUUUCCCUAUAUAAAUCAGUAUAAAUUAACAUAUUACUUUUAUUUUCAAAGUUAUUCAAGUAAAAUCAAGUUAGGAGUUAAGAGAUGACAUCCACUUCGCCGCCCUUGAUAGCGUUGUGAGUCUCAACUCCCUAUACGCUACCUUUUCAUUUCUGGGACUCUCAUUCACCACUAUAAGGCUGCAUAGCAUUGAUGGUCGUCUUGGCUGCGAUGCCAAUAUCAUCAUGAUCAGGAGCUUGAUGUUGUUUGAGGUUGUUUCCUUUGCGUUUUUUCUCACAUCAUCAUUGGUGGCUCAUGGCUUGAAGAUAAUGAUCAAACUUGUCAAUGCUGCGGAAUCAAAUGAAGAGUUUAUAAGCCACUUCAACAAAAAGUCUAUUCGGAAGGUGAUGCUUUGUGCCAUUUUUAGCUCCAUCUUGGGACGUCUUUUUCUGAUUCCCUCAAUAGUGUAAAUCCUCCAGAUUCGGCCAGGGAUUUUGAGUUGUAGGAGUCCAUCUACAGUCUAAGGAGUGGUUUCUCUUGUUGUUAUUGUUACUUGUGUUAUUUUUCACAUUGUUAUUACCAUCUUGGUGUUUUUACAUGUGUGACUUUUGGUUUAUAUUCACCUAGUGGUAUGUAUGAAACAUUAUUAAUGUGUUUAAUUAUAACACAUUACUUAGAGGAUGCAUCCUCAUCCCACUCGCUUGGUCAGCAUGCGAGGAAACCUCUACUCCUCCCCCAACCUCUUGCUCGUUGGACACACAGUUUCUUCUUCUCGACUCCACAAACAAAAAUCUCGACGGAGCUUCCCACCACAGUUGUAAAGAGAAGUUGGAAUUGCCCACUACCACUUGCAACGAACUAGGUAAAGAACUCCCAACAGGAUGCACCAAAAUCUUGGCCCAAUGCAGAUUAGUCAUCAGAGCUGUGUCAACAAUGACAAACCCGCCACAUUCAUCCCCAAUUUUCUUAAACACCAUCCGACUCCAAAGGUGUAAUGGGAAACCCAACACCCUCACCCACAUCUCCUUGGCACGACCCCCCUUGCCCAGACAACCAGCCUCAAGGGUCUUCCUCGCCAAGUGCGGCACUCUCUCCUUAACCCUUCAAGAACCUUUGGCAAGCACCCUUUCUGCCUCAAUAAGAAUAUCAAAAUCAAACAAGGGCAAGGUACCUCCAAAACCUGAAAUUUUCACCCCUUUUCAGAGACCAAAGAGCAGUCACAAAAGAACUGAGUGUACUUGUGAUUAAUUAUUAUACUACGGACUUUAAUUAAAUACUACUUUUCUCAUGUUAUUUCUGUGUUAGUGUUAUUCAUAUAUAUAUAGCCUCAUAUCCAUUGACUCCAUGAUUUCUACACUUACUGCUUUGUCCACUGAAGUUACAAAUCAAGACUUCUCACUAAUGUGAGGGUGAUAAUCAAGAUUAAUCUGGAUGAUCUUAAGCCUCUUUCAUGCAAAAACUUGAUUCAUGCCUUCAAAUACAAAGAUGAAAAUACAACUUUCAUCUAUUGGAUGGAAUUGAGAAUAUAAUUUCUAGAAAAAUCAUAAAAACAUAAACAAUUUUAAAAAAUCAAUAAAUAAAAACUUCCAAAAAUAAUGAGAUGGAUUAGCUGAGUUAGGACACGUGUGCGUGGGUGGAGGACAAGAAAAGAAAAGACUUUCCAAAGGAAGAUAUUGUUGUUAUAUUAUGAGAGAGAUAGAUGCAGGAUAGUGGAUCAUUUGGCCUCCCAUGCAUCUCAAUGAAGUUUAUCCAACCAUAAUAAGAAAGCAACUGCCACAUACAAGGACCACUACAACAUCUUGGAUAUCCAUCCACACUAGGUCAAUUUAUCAACUCUCACUACCUUGCUGAAACAACACAAUACUGAUAUAUAGAAUUAUUAUCAUACAAUCUCCAACAAGAAUAUUUCUAUGCAACUCUUUAUCCAAAUCACCAUAAGAUACAUGCAAACAACAAGUGUGCAUUAAGAACAAUUGAACAUUUCCAGUAAAUUAACCUGUAAACACAGUGAUGGUUUAGCACAUAGGACAGAAUUGUUGACUGUUGGAAACCCUUACCAAUAGAUUCUCAGAAGAGAAGUGCGUAAGGACUGUACAUCAUCUUAGCCAUCAUUUCUCAUUAUCAACCACCUUUAAUCAGUAAACCUAUUGAGAGCCUCAUAAAACACCCUGCAGGAAUUCAUCUAUUAGAAUCUAUAACUAAUAAUUAAGAAACUAAAUAAAAAACAUCAAACAACUGAAAAUACAUCCAAAUAAAAGAAACAUGUUAAUUUACAAUAGCUUUUAGAAAAAUUCUAGUGAUUAGAAGCAAUAAUUUUGGUGACAUAAGGCUCUAUUACCAUGAGGGAAUGCCUAAAAUGAUGGCAAUGCCUGUUCAAGCUGAUAGAGAGAUAAGUAAUAUUUGAAUUUGGACAGAAUAAGAAAUCUUUGUUUGAUCCUAUUUCAUCUCUUUUUAUUUUAAGUAACCAAAUAAAAACCAAGUAAAAGAAACAAAAAAACAAUUAGCUAGAAAUUAGAGCAUGAGACUAAUAAAAUAAAAUAAAAAUCUUCUAAUUGUUUAGUCAAAGCUUUCACAAUUCUCAAAGGCGAGACUAUUUCUUUCCCUCCAAAUGGGACCAAAAUAAGCAUAAUGGAGCAACCUUCUAAGCCUUUUUUUCUUUUCCAAUAAAGGAGCUGCACCAACUCAAGAGCAUCCCAUGACUACAUCACCCCCGGUCCAUCAAAUAGAGCAAAAAUCAAUCCCUUGAUUCUUAAUGAAGAUAAAUCAAACAUCUUGACAUACAAACACAAAUCUAGCGUCUUUUUAGCCAAUCCAAUUUCAAUUGGCAAUCUUUUUAUGAAUCAUCAUAUCAAUGAAAAGUUAGACAUACACCAAUACACACUACAACGAAUAUGGGGUUUUGCCGCAAAUUAAUUUGUGAUUAAAUAAGAGCAUCUUGUGGUAGAAGAUUAUAAGUCCAUGAGCAAAUAUUUUUAACCAUAAAAUUUAAUUUUAUAACAAAAUAAACAAUUUUUUCACAAAAAAAAUUUGUGGCAACAUAUCAUUUUUCGCCAUAAAACAAGUUUGUAGCAACAUAUAAUUUUUUUCAUGAAAAUAAUCAUGGUAAAAGGUCAAUUUUUUGUCAUAAAAAAAUUCCUGGUAAAACAUGUAUCUUAUUUAAUGAAUGGCAAUUUCUUUGGAAUAAAAACUUAAGAGACUAUUUGGUAAAGGAAAGCUAGUUUCUCGGAACCAGAUAUAUGCAUAUAUGUGUAUAUACAUAUUCAUUUUAGAGAUGUUAUGACACUAAAAGUAAGGACUGAGUCAGGACGGAACAGGGAAUAACAUGACAUUGAUGAAAUACUUCUAAAACCCAAUUGAAGUCAUUAUCUACAAAUAUUCUUUUCUUCAAAUCAUUGCCACUGGAAAAAAUUGCUGAAUGCUUAGUCUUAGUAAGUCAGCCUGAGAUUCCUUUAAUAAAUGCAUCCUUAUUAAUUUCAGAGUUCAAAAUUUCGAAUCAAUCCCUGUUGAACUGAGAAAUUUCAAGAGAAAUCUUGGUUUAAAUCAAUCUUACCAAUGCUGAUAAUAGCAUCAAGAAGCAAGCCGAGCAGAGGCAGAAAAACUCCACCAGUGAUUUUAGGACUAACAACUUCCACCAGAACUUCCAGGAAUUUUUUUUUUUAUGAUAUAUUUAAUAUUCAUGUUCUUUCUUUCAUCAUUUUAAUAUUGAAUACUGAUUUUAUCAUUCCUAUUUCUUGUCAAACUUGCAAUCUUUGAUACUGACACCUCUCCUUUCUCAUUGGGGGGAAAAGAUUACCAUAGUCCCAUAUGAUGAACUACUAGUGAUCACUAAACAUUCACAUGUGUUUGCUAUUAACUUGCAGGUCCAAAAUCCAACGAACUCCAGAUUAUAGUUUCAUUACUUAAAUUCAGGAAUUUGACACAUGGAUCAAAAAUCCUAGCUGUGGAGACAAAACUCCCAUUAAGUUGAGUUUCUUUCUUUUGAGUAAACAAGUUCAGAGAAUAUAGAAAACUCAGAAUGAAAAGAUCAUUAAGAAUUCAUAUAUGAAACUAAUGAAGAUUGAAAAUAAGUUCUGGAACAUCCGAAUGCAAUUUCCAUUAAUUACAAAUCUCAUAAAAAUAUGUACAAAUUUCAAACUUGGUGUGAUGGUUUAUAUUUUUUUCAUGCCACAAAUUUCAAAUCUUGUUUAUUAGAAUAUAUCCAUUAAUUACAAAUUUAAGAAAAACAGUAUAAAUUUAUUCAUAGUUGGCAUCCUAAAAUUAGGUUCAGACAUGUACUUAUUAAACUCAAACUUGAGGUUUUGAUAUUAAUUCUAAAAAAGAAUGCAUAACACAAUGUAGUUUUUUUCUCUUUUUAUUUCUAUUUUAAUUUUGUUAUUUAGAAAUGCAUGCAUAUAUUCUCAUCACAGAACUAGAAGAAAAAUUUACUGCAUAAAUCAAAAUAAAGCUUUUACAAAAACAACAAAUUCCAAGUUUUUUUAAGUCAUAAAUUAUUUAAACAAAAUUAACCACUAUGGUACAGAAGCUUUUAUCCAGCUUAAAAAAGCUUGGGAAAAUUGUGUUUUCAGCCCACUUUUCUGCCACCUUUGGGUGAGAGACACGUAGCAAAGGGGGGCAUUCUUUGCAUUGUGGUGGUUAGUGGGGCUGUUGAGGGAGAACUUAUUUCGGGUUUGGUAGCAUUAGAAAGGAAAGGGAAAAGCUUGAGCAGCGAGAAAGCUUGGAGGAAGAAGCCAAAAAGGGAGGAGGAGCUGAGGAGUUUUUGUUGGUCUUAGCAGAAGAGAGUACGGGAAGCCAAGCAAAUUGUUACUUGUGAGGAGGGUUAUCAGGUAAAGAUUCAUAUGGGUCUCAUAUUUCACAUUUUCCCACUGCUUUUACUUUCUUUCUGCUGAUUUCUGGGCCCCAUGUGUUGUUUGUGUGCGGACAUUAACAGGCACAUGAUUAUUUUGUAGAAAUUUGAGAUUGCCUGCAUAACUUUUGGGUUGCUCCCACCUUUUUGCACUCUUCCUAACCUCGUGUGUUCUCCCACCAUAACUUACCGGCGAAGACUGAAGAUCCUACUACCACAUGCAAGAUCCUAGGACCCCUAAUGAGAUGGAAUGACCCCUAAUGGUUGGGUCUGGCUGCACUUGUUUUCAAAUUCCACAUUCAUUAAAAACAGAGGGAAAGGAGAUCAGGAUAGAUCAUUAUAGACCAGUGUACCAACUCCCCAUUCAUUUGAGGGAAAACUAAAUAUUAUUCCAUUUGAAUAGAAGUUUAGACCUACACUUGUAGGUUCUGGCUUGCUUCAUAUACUAAAGGAUGAACUAGUUCUGACCAUUUAUAAUGAUACCAUCAGGCAAGGGAAGGGGUCUCCUCAAGUCCAAAGUUUGCUGUAAUGUCUACCAACAUUAUGACACACAAUGGAACAAAUUAGGAGCAUGACAUGAAGGUUGAAUCAUAACAUACAUAAGCAUCUUUGUCCAAAUUGCAUCUCUAGCACAUCAGCUUUUCUUUUUAGUGUGAUGAAGGAGGGAGCCAACUGACCUGAUAUAGUUUCCUGUCAAAGGUGAGUCUGAUAGACAUUUUUCAAGCCAAUAGAAAGAGAGUAGGCAUAGUUUCUUGUCCAAAAUGAGAAAAGAUUAGUUUGAUGGACAUUUUUAACAGCAAAUAGAAACAAACCAAGUACUGCAGCCCUUUCACAUAAAAUUAGGACAUUUGCAUAUUGUAAAUAAUAAGAAAAAAACAUAUGAAGCUAGGCACAAGAACUGAGGCUUCUGGUGUUGGUCGGAUCAUAACAUCCUAUCGCAUUUGUAGAAAUGUAAGAAUAAGAAAACCAACUCUUUAGUAGAUGCAAAGUGACAAUGAGAUGGGGACGUAGGAUGAUAAAAAGUUAUACACUCAUCAGUUUGGAGCGCUUUAAGACAUGCAUCUUAAGAUACAUUCUAAUACCAAACUAAAAUUCUCAAAUAAGAAAACUAAAACGUAUGCUUUUCAUAAUCUCUUUAAAUAGUCUCUGCUUUUCUCUCUAUAAAUAUCAAGAACAGAUCAUCAUCAUCAAUGGCAGUAAACAAGUUUGCAACGAAACACCAACAAGAUCAUGCUUAUUCUCAUCUAUAAUGUUCUUGAAUGGAUUCUGAUCCUUCUUCUCAACUCUUUUUUCUCUUUAUCUUCUGUCUGAAACCCACAUUGCGAAGAUUUCAAAACUUGGAUGCUAUUCAAAUCAUCGAAAAUUGGUUGAAUUACAAGAUAUAUGUGAGGAUUGCUCAUCCUCAUCGCGACUUUGAUUAUUGUGAAUUAUCAAAGAUUGCUUUCAUUCCAUGAUUCAGGGUGAUGAUGAGAAGAUUGUGGAAAAGGGGGAAGUAAAUUUGAGGUGUUUCUAUUGUGAUGUUAACUUAAACGGAAAAUUCCACUAUCUUUAUUUUCUGAUCAAACCCUCUUAGGGGGUUUUGGAUUAUACCCAGAAAAGGAAUUUGGUAAUAGAAACUGGGAUUGAUGAUGGCAUUUAUAGAAGCAAAUCGGAUUUUGCAACUGAUUGAUGCGAGGAAGAUGAGGGGACUAAUGGAAACAAAAGAAAUAAGAUACUCUCUAAUGUUGAUGGAAGUUCUGGAACAAGAGAAGAUGAGGCAGAGGAGGAUUAUUUCACAGGUGACAACAGGGAAUGUGAGAACAAAGGAUUGGAAACAUGGAAAUAGCUCCUUUUGUUCUCUAAACAGUGGAAAAACAAAGGAAACAUGUUUUUUGGUUAUCAAAAAAGAAACAUUUUGGAAACACGGGAAAUAAUGUAAACAAUAAGUGAUCAAAGUUCCAAACGAGGUUUUGGUGUUUUUGGUUCUCAAAAACAAAAAAACAGUUCUCAAAAACAAUCACAAAUGCAAGAAAAUAUUGGCCCAAGCGAAAGCCCACAAGCAAACAGUCCAUCCUCAACCGUAUUCAGGAAAUGAAUUCUUAAUACAGAUAGUUUUUUGAACUAGAUUUAAAGUAGGCAACUUACCUGGAACACGCCUAGAUUUAAAGAAGAGUAAAAGCUAGCAUCCAGCACACAAAAAAAUAAAUAAAUAAAUAAAAUAAAAAAUUGAGACAUUACUCCCAGAAUUUAGAAUCUAUGGAUCUUAAUCCCACAUGGACACCGAGAGCCCCAAACAAUAAACCAAAAAGCCAACAAUCAGCAAUCCAAAUGAAAAUGGAACCAAAAAACUCUAAGUUAAAGAUAUAGAGAACCCCCUUUCAAUUAGAGGCCUCAUUUCAACAGAGUCGACCCUAGCCAAAGUGAGCCAAAACAGAGAACUUGAGGAUCUCGUUUCCUCCUAAUCUAACCAGAUGAUCCGAAAAUUUCUUGAGCAAACGUGAUAUCGUCCUUCGAAACGACGUGGAUAGUGUUCGCCAUUCUAACCGGAUUCGUUUUCGUAGUAGCAUUCUUCCUCCUCAUUUUGCUAUAAGGCUUCCUCCUCAGAAAGCCUAUAGCAAAAUGCUGUAGAUUGGAAAAUAAUUCCAAUUCUACGGCACUUUUUUAACACAUAGGAUGAGGGAGGGAAAAAAAUAGUAUUUUAUAAUUGAAAAGAAGUGCAAACCCAUUUCCCCACCACCCGUUUUCGUGAAAUUUAAAUCCAAUGGCACAAAAGCAAAGAGACCCCUAGAACAUAUCCAGAAAACACAGGAAGCAGAAAAAAAAAAAAAGCAAUUUUUUUUAUUUUCCGGAGGGUUUUGCAUGGAUUUUCUCGGAAAUCAAACGAGGAUGAAUUUUCCCGGAAAUCGAAUGGGGGAUGGAUUUUCUUGGGAAUCAAACGGGGGUUGCAAAAAAUAAUAAUAAUAGUAUGAUUAGAUUAGUACCUGCGAGGAUUGAGAGCAGAGGAAAAUAGGGCCUUUUUUCGGGAUUCUCUCGUCUGGAGGGCAACCUCGGAAAAGGGCUUCUUGAUGCCCGAGUGAGAGAGAUUUGACUUAGGUUCAAUCCUUGGCUACCAUUGAAUUAUGAUGCUCUUUGAUAUAUUCAAUUUAAAUUUGUUAAGGUUCAUCAUUAAAAAAAACUUAAUUUUAAUUAUUUUAUUUUAAAUUAUAUUUAAUUGAUUAAUAAAAAAUAUAAAAAUUAAUAUUAUAAUUUUUUUAACAAGUCUUUUUUAUAUUAUUUUUAUGAUAAUUAAAUAUAAAAAAUAUAAAUAUUAAAAAAAAUCAUAUAUGUAUCAUGAUAAGAUAAUCUUUUAGGUAGUAGUAUCUUAUUGAAGUUGUUGGCUUUAAUUAUUUUCCUAGUCUUUCUGCUUCUAGGUGAAGGUUUCUUUGAUUAUCAUUAUUUGGUUUUAUUUAAUUAAUUAAUUUUAAAUUUUCAUUAUCAAAUGAUGGAAUAUAUAUUUCGUUUUUUGUUGCUUUCUUUUGGUAAGGAUGACGCUAUGAAUCAUGGCAAUUAGUUGUGGAAUUUUUUUUUCCCUAGAUGAUGAUAAUUUUUAAAAUAUGGUCUUUAAUAGUUUUAGUUGUUCAUUUGGAAGUAUUAGACAACCUAUUUUUAUUUUAUAUCUAGUAAUGUUUUUUCAUCCAUUACUCGAUUAUGAGGUGUACGAAUUAGAGGGGGAGGGGCUCAUACGAGAGGGACUAGGCAUACAUCUGUUCUUAGAGAUGCACCAUCAACUAACAUUAGCCCGCCACCUGUUGAGGAGACUUCUAUUACACCUAUAGAGGUGUCAUGCACCCCACCUGUAGUACCACUUGUUGCAUCAUCACCACAACCGAUAGAGGCUAUAUUGGUUGAUGAAGAGUUAGUUCAUAUAGCAAAUGAUGAUCAGUAAAGAUAAAAGAAUGAUCGUGGUCGAGGACGUGGUAGGAGAUGUGGUUGUUGAGCUCAUGGAGGGGUACAUAUUAGCCCCAUAGAGCCAAUAGUGGAACAUGCAUAUCAUGGACGUCCACAACAAAAAAGGAAGGCUCCUUCGUGCAAUACGCAUUGAAGAUGUUACUAUAUAUGACUUAUAUUUUGGAUGUUGUAAGUAUUUUGUAUAUCAUUAUUUUAAACAAAUACUCGAGAUGUAUAUUUAUACUUGUUAUGUUUUGGAUUAACUAACUUUUUAUUAACGUAAGUUCUAUAGUAUUUUUAUCUAUUUUGAACUUAUUUAACACAAAAUAGUAUUGUUACUAAGGUGUUUCUUGAAAAAACAUUUUUAGCAUAAAUUCGAAAUUUUUAACUGUAUAUGAAAAUUGUGGAAAUUGUCUAAUUCAAAAAACACAUAAUAUUUUUUUUUUUUAAUUAUGGAUUUAGUAUAAAUCCAAUUUUUUGGGGAUUGCAGGUGUCUUUCAAGAGACACCUUCAAUAUAAAAUCAAUACAAAUUAAAAUUUGUGAAAUUAUGGAAUCAAAACUUUAGUACAUACUGGAUUUUAUAGAAUUGUGAAAAGUGUCUCUUGAAGAAACACCUUCAGUAUAAAUCUAAUUUUGUUGGAAUUGUAGAAUGUGUCUUUUGAAGAGACAUCUUUAAUAUAAAAUCAAAUUUAAGAGACACAUAAUAGUAUAAAUUAAAAUUUGUGAAAUUAUGAAAGGGACACUUUCAAUAUAAAUCCAAUUUGUUGGGAAUAGUAGAAUGUUUUUUUUUCAAAAGACUCCUUUAGUAUAUAUUGGAUUCUAUGGAAUUGUAGAAGGUCUCUUGAAGACACACCUUUAGUAUAAAUCAUUUUUUUUUGGGGAAUUAUAGAAGGUGUCCUUUAAAGAUUUAAUAUAAAAUCAAAUUUAAGAGACACGUAAUAUAAAUUAAAAUUUGUGAAAUAGUGAAAGGUGUCUCUUGAAAAGACACUUUUAUAUAUAUUGGAAUUUGUGGAAUUAUGGAAAGUGUCUCUUUGAGACACCUUUAGUAUAAAUUAAAAUUUUUUGAAAUUGUAGAAGGUGUCUCUCGAAAAUAAAAUUCAUGAGAAUGUAGUGUAAAUUCAAAUUUGUCAAAUUAUGGAAGAGAUGCCUUUAAUACAUAUUGGAUUUUAUGGAAUUGUGGAAAGUAUAUUUUCAAGAGGCACCUUUAAUAUAAAUCCAAUUUUCUAAAAUAGUAGAAGAUGACUCCUGAAUAGACACCUUUAGUAUAUAUUGAAAUUUGUGGAAUUAUGAAAAGUGUCUCUUUAAGUGAUACUUUUUGUAUAAAUUAAAAUUUUUGGAAUUGUAAAAAAUGUCUUUUUAAGAGACAUUUUUAGCUUGAAAUCAAAUUCAUGAGACAAAUUCAAAUUAAUCAAAUUAUGGACGGUGUCUCUUCGUUGGAUUUUAUAGAAUUUUGAAAAGUAUCUUUUCAAGAGAUAUCUUUAAUAUAAAUUAAAUUUUUUGAAAUUGUAAAAGAAAAUGCACAUUUAGUUUAAAUUCAAUUAUUUUAAAUAUGUAUCAUAAUUUUGAAAAUUAUGAAAGGUGUCUAUUUAAAAGACACCUUUCACAUGACAAAUCUAUUUUAAAAUGUUGCUGCAAAAGUUUAAAAAAACCGCUUCCUAUAGACCUGUAAAUGAUGAAGCCUACUACUCCACCAAAUUAUGACUAUAUAUAUAUAAAAUUAUGGGAGAAUUGUGUUUUGGGCCCAGUUGGGUCUAAAAAUUAACAUUUGGUCCAUAUAACUUCCAUAAUUGAUGGAAAUGAUAUAAGAUGUUAAAAAACCAAUAUAUCUUUCAAAUUUCUAUACAUUACCUUUUAAGGAUAUAAAAUAGUGAUGGACUAAAAUACCCAAUAACCUUUCACAUAAGUUUUUUUUGUCUUUAUUGCACCACUAUUCAUACAACCAUAAUAAUUCUAUUUUAACAAUUUGGAUUUUUUUAUUGUUUUUUUUAAAUUAUAAAUAAUUGAAAAUCAACAUUAUUUUCUAUUUUAAAUUAUAAAUAAAGAAAAAUUAUGUUCAAAAACUAUUUUAAAAAACGCUUUCUAAAAAAUAGUAAUAUGAUUUAUAUUUUUUAUAUUUUCUUUUUGAAAAAACGUUUAAUUAAAAAACGAAAACUAUUUUUAAAAAUAAAAAUUGAAAAUUGUACUAUUUUUUAUAUGAAAAUAAUAAAAAGAAUUAAAUUUUAGUAAUUGAUUAUCCAUUUUUAUUUUUUUCCAUUAGUUAUUUUAAUAAAAAAAAAUAGUAUGUUUACAAUUAAACAAAUAAAUUGAUCAAUUAUGUGUUUUUUGUGGAACUAUCUUUUACAUGAAAAAUAAUUAAAUAACUAAAUUAUAUAUAUUUAUUACUCUUUUUAAUUUUAUUUUCUUUAUUUAUUUUUUGUCUAAUAGAAAAUUUUAAUAUAUCCAUAAUUAACAAAGUAAUAAAUCAAUUGUGCAUAUUUUUAUCUAUUAAAAUAAAUUACUUUCUAAUUUAAAUAAAUAAAAUAAAAUAAGUAAAUAAAUUUGGGGUUAUUUCUAUUUUUUAACAUAUCUUAUAUCAAUAUUUUUAAUGAUUAAAUAAAAUUUUUAUUUUUUAUUUCUUUAAUUCCAAAAAUAAAAUGAAAUAAAUAAAUAAAUUUGGAAUUUUCCAAUUGAUCUUAUAUUCAUAUUUCUCAUGGUUAAAUAAUUUUUUUAUUCUUUUGUCUUUAUUUCCAAAAAUAAAAGGAAAUAAAUAAAUAAACUUGGUUUAAAUAAUAGUUUUUAAGUAAUUUUUUUAUCUUAUUUUUAAUUACAUUUUGCAUUGAAAAUAAAAUAAAAUAACGUUUUAUUUGAGUCACUGUACAAGGUAUUUACACUAAGUGUACAUGACAAAUAUACUAAUUGUACAAGGGUGUACAAGACUAUUAUUUGUGAAGGAUUUUAAGUAAUUUUGAAAAACUUGUUUGUUUAUUUCCCCUAACCGAGGAUAAAUGAAAUUCCUUAUACACAUUGGUUAAGCAUACAUUCAUUUCAUACACUUUAUCUAACUUGUAUAUGGUCAUUUGAAUAGGUACCUCACUUAUGAUGAUUGUAAAACAAAAUUAUAUAAUAAUUUUUCUUCUUUUUUAAAACCAAACCAAUGCAAACAUGGUUAACCAACCUAUUGUUAGAUAUUCAUGAGAUGAUGCAUGAAAUUUGAGUUAUUGUAUAAGGGUAUUACACUAACUGUACAAGACAAAUUUACUAAUUGUACAAGGGUGUACAAUACUACUUUUUGUUAAGAAUUUCAAGUGAUUUUGAAAAACUUUCCCAUUUUUUUCCACUCAAAUAUUUUUUUCCCCACUCAAAUUCUCUCACUCAAGAAUUGUUUCGAAUUUUAUUUUUAAAUUUCAUCAUCAAAUUUUUGUAAUUGCAUAUUUUGUUUUUAUAGUUUUAGCAAUGUUAUUUCUUUCUACUAUUUUUUUUUUUUGUGAAAUUUUAUCCAAAUGAAUCUAUAUUUAAAAUUAUAAUCAUAUUUAUCAAAUUUUUUACUUAGAUUAUCUUUAAUUCUUUUAAUAUAUUUAUACUUGUUUAUUUAAAAAAAAUGAAAAACUAAUUUUUUUUUCUAAACAUGUUCUAUUACCUUUCAAGUAAAAAAAUUAGAUAAGUUUGAAAGUCAAUAAAAAAAAUUAAAUACCACUUUCAAUAAUUUUUAGAUAAACUUUUAUAUAAUAUAUUUUAUUUGAAAUUUAAUUUUUAAAGUUUUACUAAAAAAUUGUACUACAAUUUUCUUGUUGUGAAUCAAAAUACUUUGCAUUAGUCUAUCUAGAUAAAAAAAAUUAUUAAUAUAAUAUUAGAACUUCAUAUCUUAGUUAUUUUUUUCAAUAAAUUUAUCUUUUAAAAAAUUUUAAAAUAAAAACAUUAAAAAUUAAAAAGCUAAAAGGAUAUAUAUAUAUAUAUAAUAGAGUGAAGUGAUAGUCAAUUUAAAUUUUUUUUAAAAUAUGGUUAAUGUAGCAAAUAUAAAAAAUAAUUAAAAAUAAGAGAAAAAUAUAAAUGAAAGGGUAAUAUAAAUUUAAAAUAAAAAAUAAAAAAUAAAACUAAAAGAUAAAUACAAAAAGAUAAAAAAUAUUUGGAUGAAAAAUCCCAAAAUUUUUAUCAUUGCUUAUAAUAAGAGUAAAAAGAUUCAAUAUCUUUAAAAAUGAAAAACAAAAAAACAUUAUUGCUUUUUAUUUGACAUAAAAUAGGAAUAUAGAUUGGAAGAAAAAAAAAGUUAAAAAUGAGUAAUACUUAAUAGGAAUAGAAAAGGGAAAAAAAAACACAAAAAAAUUGAAAUUCACGCUCACUUAUGCCUGUGGAAGAGUUAAGGGUAUUUUAGGGAUUAAUGAAGGAUAAUAUCCUUCAUCUUAAUUUUCAUACUUUGUUUGGGUCUUGGGCUUAAAUAUGCAUGAUAUUUGGACCAAAUGUUAAUUUUUGAACCCAGCUGGGCCCAAAACACAAUUCUCCCUAAAAUUAUCCCUUGGAGUCAACGUGAGUUCGCUUCUCAUUGGAGGGGUCCCGUAAGGUGGGUCCCAAUCGGUGAACCCCACUAUCUUUCUUCCUAAAACAUCCUCAGGUUUUAUUCCUUAUUUUAAUUAAAAAACAAUUUAUAAUAUUUUCAAAAAAUUUAACUUUCAAUCAAAAAAAAUAAUAAUAGUUAAAUAAAGAUAAGUUUUUUUUUUAUGUAAGGUAUGGAAAAAAAUAUUAUUAAUUAUUUGCUAUAUUAAUGAUUUUUUUUUUUAAUAUUUAGCAUAUUGAUGAGUGCCAAAAUGACAAUAUUUAAGAUAAAUAAAGAACAAAAAAAAGGUAAAAGAACCAUAGAAAAGUCUAUUAAAUAAAAAAUACAAGUAAAAUAUAAGUAAAAUAAUGCAUGUCUUACAUAACAAAGGUUUAUUUUAUAUUUACGUAUUAUCUUUUAUUUAUAAUUAUAUUUUAGGUGUCUCACAAGUUUUUUAAUUAUAUUUUAUUUUCUUUACUAAUUUUCACAAGUUUUGCUUCUUUUUUAAUAAUGUCAGUUACAAGCAUCAACCCAUAAAUUUAUAGAUGUCAUUAAAUGAAGUAUAACAUUAUUUCUUAAUAAAAAUCUUUACCUUAUGAAAUAAAAUAUUAUAAAAUUUUAAGUUUUAUUUAGUGUGUUUUACUAUAAGUGAUUUGUCAAAUCUUUUUUAGAGCACGUUUGACAGUAAUUAUAAGAAGUAUUUCUAACAUUUUUAGUACUUGAAAAAUGAAAUUUUCAAAUGUUUUAGAUGUUAGAAAUACUUCCUAAAAUCACUACCAAACAUACUUUAAGUGAAUCAAUUAAGUGAUUUUUGAUUGGUGUUGGUUAAAUCCUUACGUUCCUUUAAUAAUUGAUUAAUUUAAAUAUAAUUAUAUUUAAAUAGGGCAAGCUAUACAAUGAGUGUAGGGAGGCUAAUUAAUCACACAAGAGUGUGAAAAAAUAGGAGAUAAUAAAAUCAACAAUUUAAGGGAGUACUAAUUUGCUUUUAAUGUGUUCGGAAGUAACCAAGUAGGUGCCAUGCAUAGAAUUUGAACAAGAUCAAAGACUUCUCAAACCCUUCCCUGGUAUAAAAUGGAGUCAAGAUUUAUCAGAAUUUUAGUUCAUGUAUAUGAUUGAAUAAUGAGACCUAGUAGACAGCCUUUUUUCUCAUCCUAUUUAUAUACGAGUAAUUGUUUAAUAAAUCUACCAUUUGCCUAGUAUAGUACUUAUACAGCACAUUUUGGCACCCUUUUGUUAAGUAUUGAAUUUAAGGUCUGUUUGGCAUAAUAUUUUGCGUCUUUUUAGUCAGAAAGCAAAACAUGAGUCAUAAGUAGAAGUCGCAACUUGUAUUUGGCUAAUGGAUUAGCAUUUGGAAGAGCUUUUGCCACAAUCUAUAGACUUCAUCUUUAACAGGUUACCCUGACUGACAGUGAGGAGAGUGUGAUCUAAAGAGAAAUUGAAGCUCCAUUUACAAGAAAUUUCAAGAGAAACUCACACCCACCUUUGGAAGGAACUCAAAGGUCCACUGACACCCAAACAGCUUCCAAUUAAUACUUCAAAUUCACAUCAUCAAACAAGACCAUCAACUUCAACAUUCACUAAAGAAAUUAGCUCAAAAAAAUUCAAAAUCCACAAUUCCAAGUCUGCAUUUUUUUAAACUGGGAUUUGAAGGGUUCAACAAAACCUGAAUCCAGUUUGCACAUAUGGCACAUUAACUUUAUUACAAGAUUAAACUGGCCGGAUAAUUGAUAAUUGUCAUUGGCCUUUUGAUUCAGAGAUGGACUGUAAUGGGCUUGUAGUCGAAAACAAUGACUUUCUCCAGGUGGGGCAGGAACAGAUUUGCAAAUUCGACAUGGGCUGGAUGAGACACAUACUCUGCAAUGCCUUCCACGCUCUCAAAGGUUGACUCGAAGACAUGAGUGAAACCUUGAUGCAUGUUCUCAAUGCUCACAUCCUUGCCCCUGUUACAUUACACAAGAUGUCACAAGUUUUAGAGAUUUUGAAGGCAUGGUAACAAGCAGCAUAACCAUUUCGCCAGGCACAACUCAAAGACAUCAGACUCAAACAUGAACCAUCGUAAAUUUCUUCACUUACAUGAAAACAAAAAUGUUAGAAAGGGAUCUAUAGGUUCAACAGAAAUUGUUCUGAUUCUAUGAGCAACUGAUGCCUCAUUAUCAGAUGAGUUCAGGGCAUCUGCUUGGCAAAUUAAUAUUGAAGUUCACUGAGUCAUCAUUGAGGCUUUUUGUUCAUUAUGAAAAUGGAAGCAGUCUCAGUUCUUAUACAAAAAGCAGAUACUGAAGACAAUUUCAUCAUUCAUGUAAGAAAACCUAUGAAAAUCCAAGCAUGUUAUGCAGAUGACCUACUAAGAGUGGGUCGACAAUAUUUCUAUUUUAAGUAUUUUUAGUGAAAGUGUUUUCGUUAGAAAUGUUUUUUAGAGAAUCACUUAUCAAGUGCUUUCCCAAGAAAUACUACAGGUGAUUUUUCAAUUUUGUAAAAAUGUUUUCUAAAUUUUGUCAAAUACUUGAUUUUUUUCCAAAAGUGCUUUUUAAACAAAGUAUUUUCUAAAAACAUGGUCAAAUGGGUUCUAAAUCGUGUUAGACACAGACUCUAAUUCCAUCCAGGUGCUCAAAGGGCAUCUUUCACAUAAAUGAAGCCACAAAAGAAAGAGUGACUUCUAAUCAAACUUUAAGGUUAACUUUCACAUCAAACUUAGAAGUACCGAAACUAUGAUUUGGUAACCUGGUUUUAGUUGUUGUGAAUCUAAACAUGUACAUGAGGUUUUGAUUGCUAAGAAAGCUGGCACCAUCUUGAUGAGAGUUCUCAAGACGUGCUUACUAACUUUAAAAAAAUCACUUUCAGAAAAAAGUCCUGCAGCAUAUAUUGUCAAGCUAAAAGAGGAAUAUUUUGGUUCUAGCUACAUGCCAAAGCACUAAAUUAUCUUCACUUAUUUUCCUUUUAGGCAUGCUAAAAAGCAUUCUAUAGAGUAUAGACAACUGAUAUUUCACCUGUGAAGUUUUUUCAACACAUGAUAUGAUAAUUAUUUGAAAAUUUGGAACUUUCUUCUCAAUAUAGGACCAGAUGUUCCUGAACUUCUAUAAAAUUUUAAAAAAUAUAUAUAUAUACAAAGAAGCACCAACAAACUUUCGGGUUUUCUAAGGUUUAUUCAUAAAUCAAAUGUUGCCCAAUAUGGGAGACCAAGAAGCAAGACUAAACGCCUACUGUGAAACAGCUGCAACUCAUCCUAAUACCCCUUUGGAAACAAUUGUAUUAGGCUCCUUUCAGAAAGCCCACACCACUACAAACAACAAAGAGAGGCACCUCAAGCAUUCACCCUACCGACAUUGUUCAACAAUUUAGAAGGGGAUUCUCAAACCCAACCUAAGUCAAUCAACUUCAUCCGAGUCUUCAAUACAAAAUCUGAAGAAAAACUCCAGCAAAUCCAACAGAUACAUGGAUCCAAUCUAUCCAAGAAUCACCCAUCCACAUAAUUUGAUGAUUUAUGAAAUUUUCCAGGAAUGUGUUUGGAUAAUUUUAUGCUACUUACGAUUUGAAUCAAGCCAAAAAGUGGGUCAGAUUACAUUAAUUAGUAUGUGCAGAGUGUAAAUUUUCAACCCGAUCAACAAAAUUGCUGAUAACCCCCAGAUACUUGCCACAAAUUCUUCUGAUUCCCAAAAAGAAAACACUCAAACAAGUAAAAUCACCAGAUCCAGAAGAUGACACCAUAAAUAAAGAUUGCCAGAGCAUUUGGUAGUGAAACUUAUAGUGGAAAAAUGCCACACAACUCACUCAAUUCCCAAUUAAAACUACUGGGUUGUGCCCAAAACCGGAUCCCCAACAAUACCCAUUUGGCAGAUCACACAAAAAUCCAAGAAAUCCCAAGAAAACAACUGAUAUAGAUUCAAGAGAAUAACAACUCACUCAAAACCGAAUCCCCAACAAUAACCAUUUGGAAGAGCCCAUAAAAGCUAAGAAAUCUCAAGAAAAUGACAAUGAAACAGAGAAAAAUGAAGCAAAAUUAUUGACUCAGAUUGAAGAGAAGUACCAGUGGAAGGCUUUCAUGGGAGGCACCAGAUUGACAAGGUUGGCAUAGCCCUUGAUGAGUUCUUCAAUCUGGUCAGGUGGGGUUGAAUCUUUGAAUUUUGCCAGCAAUACGUGCUUUACCACCCCCUUCGCCUCUUCCAUUCUACUCUCUCUUAGGACUCUUCCCCUUUCUCUGUGCCACCUUGCUUGCUUAUCUAAAAAGCUGUCAGCCAAUCAUCUACAAAGUACUGCAAGAAUGAUUUGAGAUGAAAAUCCAAUUGGAAAAGGUAACCAAUUUUCAUCCUUUAGAAAAAUUUAUCAUUUUUUAUUGCCUUACAUACAAAAAGAUUUCCUUAAUAUACAAAUUAUUUUUUACCUCAAAUUAUUUAUUUGUAUGGAAAUGUUUUUUUAAUAUAAAAAGUGAAUUUUUAACUUUCACUCCAAAUUUGAAGGAUACUCUCAAUUAAUAUUUAUUUUAAUUUUAGAAAAAUUCAAACUAAGAAUAAAAAUAAAAAAUAAAAAAUCAGACAAGUCACGUGAUCAUUUUCAUUGAUAAUAGAAAAAAUGUGACAAAAUGAGCAUUUAUACAAUUUUUUUAACUAAUUGAUAAGUUUUUUUAUUGUAUGCAUGCUUACCAAGGAGUUUAGACUUCACAAGCUACACUUCUUUUUUCAUUGAUUGCUACACUUUCUUGUACACAUUUAUCAAGAACUUGGGGGCCCAGAAUUUGAGAUGGAACGUUUAAACAUUUGGUUUUGCCAUCUAUCUAAUGAAAACCCAUUUGUUUUUCUUUUUAAUGUUUUAUUAUAUUUGGUUCGGAAAAAUAUUAAGAAAAAAAAAGUAUUAAAAUAAUGUUUUUUUUCUAUUUUAUUACGAAAAAUAUGAAAAAAAAAAAAGUUAAAUAUAAUUAAAAUUAAUAAUUUUUUUAUAUAUAUUUAAAUUAUUUAAUAUUUAUAUAAAUGAGUUAAAUCCCAUAAAUGGUUCUAGUUAAUGAAAUGAUCCAUAGAAUCUUCGUUACACCAUCCACCUUUUAGGCUUUGAGCAUUCUCAGACCUUUCCAUUCUUUUCAACCGCAGGAGUUGUACUUCAUUGGAAACGGAAGUGAUUUUGGAUUGGAAGCGGAUAUUCCAACUAUCUUCCAAUUAAUACUCCAAAUUCACAAUAUCAAACAAGACCAUCGACCUCAAAAUUCACUAAAGAAAUUGACUCAAAAAUUCAAAUACCACGACACCAUCCAGUCUGCAUUUUUAUAAGAGAUUAAACUGGCCGGAUAAUUGGUAAUUGUCAUCUGCCUUUUGGUUCAGAGAUGGACUGCAGUGGGCUUGUAGUCCAAAACAAUGACUUUCUCCAGGUGGGGCAGGAACCGAUUUGCAGCUUCGACGUGGGCUGGAUGAGAUACGUACUCUGCCAUGCCUUCCACGCUCUCGAAG
rnacentral:lncRNA from 1 species